GAUGAACGCUGGCGGCGUGCCUAAUACAUGCAAGUCGAGCGAACAGACGAGGAGCUUGCUCCUCUGACGUUAGCGGCGGACGGGUGAGUAACACGUGGAUAACCUACCUAUAAGACUGGGAUAACUUCGGGAAACCGGAGCUAAUACCGGAUAAUAUCUUGAACCGCAUGGUCCAAUAGUGAAAGACGGUUUUGCUGUCACUUAUAGAUGGAUCCGCGUCGCAUUAGCUAGUUGGUAAGGUAACGGCUUACCAAGGCAACGAUGCGUAGCCGACCUGAGAGGGUGAUCGGCCACACUGGAACUGAGACACGGUCUAGACUCCUACGGGAGGCAGCAGUAGGGAAUCUUCCGCAAUGGGCGAAAGCCUGACGGAGCAACGCCGCGUGAGUGAUGAAGGUCUUCGGAUCGUAAAACUCUGUUAUUAGGGAAGAACAAAUGUGUAAGUAACUAUGCACGUCUUGACGGUACCUAAUCAGAAAGCCACGGCUAACUACGUGCCAGCCGCCGCGGUAA
rnacentral:rRNA from 1 species